rnacentral:rRNA from 1 species
UACGUAGGGUGCGAGCGUUGUCCGGAAUUAUUGGGCGUAAAGAGCUUGUAGGUGGUUUGUCGCGUCUGCUGUGAAAAUCCGAGGCUCAACCUCGGACUUGCAGUGGGUACGGGCAGACUAGAGUGCGGGAGAGGAGAGUGGAAUUCCUGGUGUAGCGGUGAAAUGCGCAGAUAUCAGGAAGAACACCCGUGGCGAAGGCGGCUCUCUGGAACGCAACUGACGCUGAGACGCGAAAGCGUGGGGAGCAAACAGG